rnacentral:rRNA from 1 species
GAUGAACGCUGGCGGCGUGCUUAACACAUGCAAGUCGAACGAACCUUCGGGUUAGUGGCGGACGGGUGAGUAACGCGUGAGAAUCUGCCCUCAGGAGGGGGAUAACGGCUGGAAACGGCCGCUAAUACCCCAUAUGCCGAGAGGUGAAAUGAAUUUCGCCUGAGGAUGAGCUCGCGUCUGAUUAGCUAGUUGGUGGGGUAAAGGCCUACCAAGGCGACGAUCAGUAGCUGGUCUGAGAGGAUGAUCAGCCACACUGGGACUGAGACACGGCCCAGACUCCUACGGGAGGCAGCAGUGGGGAAUUUUCCGCAAUGGGCGAAAGCCUGACGGAGCAACGCCGCGUGAGGGAUGAAGGCCUCUGGGCUGUAAACCUCUUUUAUCAAGGAAGAAGAUCUGACGGUACUUGAUGAAUAAGCCACGGCUAAUUCCGUG